UUAGAAGAUGGUGGUGUCCUGUCUCCUU
rnacentral:piRNA from 1 species